UACCAGCUCUCCGAGUGGUAGGGAUGAUUAUUGGGCUUAAAGCGUCCGUAGCCGGCUUAGCAAGUCUCCUGUUAAAUUCAGCGACCUAAUCGUUGAUUCGCGGGAGAUACUACUAGGCUAGGAGGCGGGAGAGGUCCACGGUACUUCCGGGGUAGGGGUGAAAUCCUAUAAUCCCGGGAGGACCACCAGUGGCGAAGGCUGUUGACUAGAACGCGCUCGACGGUGAGGGACGAAAGCUGGGGGAGCGAACCGGAUUAGAUACCCGGGUAGUCCCAGCUGUAAACGAUGCGAGCUAGGUGUUGGGGUGGCUACGUGCCACUUCAGUGCCGCAGGGAAGCCAUUAAGCUCGCCGCCUGGGGAGUACGGCCGCGAAGGCUAGGAAAACUUAAAGGAAUUGGGCGGGGAGCCAACCACAAGGCGUGAAGCUUGCGGUUC
rnacentral:rRNA from 1 species